AAGCAGGUCUACCAGGUGGUGCAGCAGCAAGAGGGACAAAGGAGGCAUUCUGGACCGAUGCCCUGAAGGCCUGACUUUGGAGCGCCCCGUGGAAAGUGAUGGAGCUGGGCAGGUUCGGUGGCACACCCUCACCGUAUAAAAAGACGAGGCCUGCUAUGGCGCCGUUCCGGUCGGGUCCAUCGCACUCUCGGUGGACUUGGCCCUCGGCAUCUCCAAGGGUCAACGGGUGCUCUGCCUUGGCAUGCGCACGUACAACACGGCCUCGAGCAGCUCCGCAUCUUCAAGCGUCAGCUCGCGCUCGCCUUUCCUCCACGCGGCGUCAUGGCGCGAUUUCGCUUGGCGCACAGAUGGGCUAAUUCCAAGAUUCAGUCUACGGAUGCUGAUUGAAGACUGUUGCAUGUCUAGGCUGGGCUCUCUAUCUCAAUCUGCUUCAGUGAGGAAGCUCAUGGACAUCCCCCUCUUUGGAAGUCAUGGCCAUAUGGAGAGCUGUGGGUACCUGGUAUAUGCAGAAGGGCAUGGGCAUCUGUGUUAAAGCAACACAAACACUUGACUAUCCAUAUCUGCACACAUAUGCCUAUUACACACCUUGCUAGCAA